rnacentral:rRNA from 1 species
UACGAAGGGUGCAAGCGUUACUCGGAAUUACUGGGCGUAAAGCGUGCGUAGGUGGUUCGUUAAGUCUGAUGUGAAAGCCCUGGGCUCAACCUGGGAAUGGCGGUGGAUACUGACAAGCUAGAGUGCGGUAGAGGAGGGUGGAAUUCCCGGUGUAGCGGUGAAAUGCGUAGAGAUCGGGAGGAACAUCAGUGGCGAAGGCGGCCCUCUGGACCAGCACUGACGCUGAGGCACGAAAGCGUGGGGAGCAAACAGG